AACUUUUUAGGAAGUGCGUCUCCUACUGGUACAAUGGAUUUAGGAAGUGCGUCUCCUAUUGGUAGAACUGAAUUUAGGAAGUGCGUCUCCUAUGGUAAAACUGAACUUAGGAGGAAAUGCAUCUCCUAUGGGUAAAACUAAAACUUAGGAGGAAAUGCAUCUCCUAUGGGUAAAGACGUGGAAUGUAUGCCUCUGUUAUCUGGGCGGGCUCCCAACUUCAACACUUAAAAGUAAAAAAACUGAAUGUAUGCCUCUAUUAUCUGGGCGGGCUCCCAAUUUCAACGCUUAAAAGUAAAACUGAAUGUAUGCCUCUAUUAUCUGGGCGGGCUCCCAAUUUCAACGCUUAAAAGUAAAAACUGAAAUGUAUUCCUCUCGUUAUACAGGUGGGCGCCUGGAACAUGAAAUGCAAAUACUGAAAUGUAUUCCUCUCGUUAUUCAGGUGGGCGCCUGGUGGUAAAGAUAUGAAAAAUGAUAUGCCCGCAUUAUACUGGUGGGUGACCUAGAACAGAAAUGAAAAACAAAAAUGUAUUCCCGCAUUAUACUGGUGGGUGACCUAGAACAUAAAUGAAAAGACAAAAAUGUAUUCCCGCAUUAUACUGGUGGGUGACCUAGAACAGAAAUGAAAAGACAAAAAUGUAUUCCUCUCGUUAUUCAGGUGGGCGCCUGUCUUCAAUAAUAAUUUUGAAAAUAAGAUCCUAUUUGAGGGCGGAUGAUCCCAACAUAUCCUAUUUGAGGGCGGAUGAACCCGUCAUAUCCUUAAGACUUGAAAAUAUCUUACCUCAAAACUUGCUGGGGAUUAUUUUGCUGGGGAUGAAUUUUCCCUUUCUUCCUUCCCCAUUAUGGGUUGUCCGACCCUCUUGAAAUUUGGUCGAAAAUCCGUCGAAGAUGCUUCUACAUCUCGAUGAUCCGCUGGGGAUAACACUGCUGAAGAUAACUCUGCUGAGUAAAUAUGUUAUCUUACUCCUUCCAGAACUACUUCCUUUUGAGUAGGAUAUUUCAUUCCCCUGCAAACUACUUCCCCUU
rnacentral:lncRNA from 1 species